rnacentral:tRNA from 1 species
GCCUGGUGGCUUAGUCAGUUAAGCGUCUGACUUCGGCUCAGGUCAUGAUCUCAUGGUUCGUGGGUUCGAGCCCCACUUCGGGCU